CAGAUCUUUGUAGACACGAAGCACACCUGAAAUGCAUGUAUUCCAAAUAACAAUAUACUCGAUUAUUUACUAUACAACUCCAGAUCUCACAUGCAGAUAAGGAGCAUUGGCUUGAGCUGGGAGAACUUUUUGCCCCAGCUGAGCUCCGGUGGUGGGUUUGGAUAGCAGGCUGCUUGCUGCUUGUGCUGAUCGACACAUUUACAACACAAAAGACGAUGAUUGAGAGGUGCGAAGGGAUUUAAGGUGGGCCGGGAUUACGAGUUUUUUCGUAGGCUUCAGGGAUUCUAGUGUUAAAGAUUUCCGGUCUUUUCAGUAGCUUUCCCUGCAGGCUGACCUCUGAAUCCUGAUCAACAUUAGGCCUCAUAUAUUCUGCCAUCUUCCUAUUUAUCUUCAGUCCUUUAUCUAACUUCCUCUCCAUUUCCUCUUUUCUGGUGCUACACAACACAAUGUCAUCAGCAAAAAGUCUGCACCAGUGAGGUUGGUCCUUCUUCCCACGAGUCAACACCUCUAUAACCAGAUCAAAGAGGUACAAGGGCCCUGGUACAGACCUCCUGUAAUUGGUGUUUUUCUUCUUACCUUAAAACUGCUUCUAACCCAUGUCCUGACCCCCCUCAUAUGCAUCCUGGACCAUCCUCAAAUGCUUCUCUGGUCCUCCUUUCUCUCUCAUGCACCUCCAGAUCACUUGACAUGGCACGCCAUCCUUGGCUUUUACAGAUGCUCCACCCAGAGCAAGGAAGCUGAGCAAACAGGCACGUCUGCACCUCAUUCUAGGUGACAAUUGUGUAUGUAAUGCUUGAUUCUUUUCCUAUCAAAGAACAGGAGCACUAACUACUAAAUGACAUACAAAUGACGGCGUACUGCCAGACACCAACUGGACCUUGAUAAAGUUGGACAAUGCACCUCACUCAAUUUUGGAACCUUCCUCUUUGUCGCACCCCGUCUCAUACACCAGGUCUCGAACCCCUAAUCUAGGUGAAUAUUACUGAUCAGUCGCUACAAUUUUGUAAGUGGAAAAUGAUAUAUAAAACUAUAUAUAAAGACUAUAAAGAAAUUUACAUUAAAACAGAGCUGCUUGUACAUUCUGUUUUCCUAUAUCUCUAUGCCAGCAUCAGGAGGUGCGAUGCAAGAACAAACCCUGCGGGACGCCUGUCCACUCACACUCACACCCACACAUUCACACUCAUAUUUGGUCAAUAUUGGUUUAGCAGUUUGGGAUGGGGAGAGGAAACAACAAAGGCAACUAGAAAUACAAAGUAGGCUGAGCAGCGGUCUGGGCAGCGUCCAUGAGGGCUCAUGUUUAUGUGAAUAAAAAGAGUCCAAGUAAAAAAGGGAUAUCGUACACUGUGAGCUUCGAAAAAUGCAUUACUGUGCUUAAUUUUGGUAUUUGUACAUUAAUAGGGUCUCAUGUGAAUAAAAUGAAAAGGUGUUUAUUUAUUUGUGUUGUGCUCUUGGUGACAAACCCUUUAGACUUAAACGCUCAUUCCUGUUAAACGUAUAGCAUAUCUGUAUCUGGGCGAUCACGUCGUUAUCUGACACCAGGGAAAAGGAAUCAAAGUCAUUGUGCUGCUUUGACGGCUGAUGUCACCUGCUAUAUUUGAGAGGGUUGUUAUGUGUAACGUCUACUUUUCCUUUGAAAGUUAUUGAUUUAUUUUUUCUCUGCUCUCAAAAUUAUUGUUACAUCUGUAAGCUGUUGUUUGAGUAAAGGACAAAACCGUGAUCAUUCUUUUUCGAUGUAUCUGUAGGGAUUUUUAUGUAACAGUUGCAAAUAGCUAACAUACAAAUGUAAACAUUUAACUUGAAUCUAUUGUUACUACUGAGCUACAUGUAUUUCAGUGUACAGUAUGCUUAACAUUGCUGCUGUAACUGAGUGCUGGAGAUAAGGGGACAUGAAAGAGAGUUACGAAAAAUGUACAGGUUAAAAAUUGUAUUAUAUACAGUAAAUGUUUAUGUACAAUUAA